AACCGAGUAAUGUUUGUUCGUAACCACAGCAGGACAGCAGGCCUCCGCUUUCCCAUAUCAGCACAAAUCCCUGAUUUUUCUUUCAUGGCAGAAGUGACUACGUCUUUUUUACUGCAACAUAAAACAACGCAGAGCAAAAAGAGAAAAACAACAGUUGUGCACAAGAUGGAGCUGUACCUUAGGGAAGGAAGCUGGGCAUCAAAAGAAGUGAAAUCUUCAAUCAAGCAGAGCAUCGUUGCAGUCAGCGAGCAGGUACUUGGCUUUUCUGGAGUAGAUCCUGACCACACCGAGGAGCAGAUGACCGGACGUCCGCAAACCCAGUUUCAUCUCCAAAAGAUAAGAUGUACUUUAUUAAUUCCACAUAAGAGAAUACAAUGUAAUCAGAAUAACUAAGAAUAGAAGUGAAACAAAAUGAGGACAUCAUAUAGGACUAAAAUAGAAACACGUUGUCUCCCAGUUGGUUGUAUUUUGGUAUUUUUUUUUUCUACUAAAAGAGAACGUUCUGAGCAUGUUGUCAUGUGUUUAGAUACAAUUAUAAAAAGGUUUGCAGUUGCAGUCACCUUUAGCUUAACAUUUAAGGUUACAGACAAUUGUACAUAUGAACCACAGAGGAAUGUAUUUAUAUCCCACUUUCUUGAGUUGUAUUUUGGGGUUUUCUAUAAUUGUAGAAACACAUUAAACCAUAGCCAGGUACAUAACAUUGGAGAGAGGGUUUUAGACUUACCUUUGGUGAAAUGAUGUCUCUGAUAGUUGUCUCCAAGUUGCAUUCAAACACAUGAGCCUUGGUGAGCUUCCUUUCCCAGUGCGCAGCUAACCAGAUUUUGGCUAAAGGUCCUCGCUUGGAGGUGAAGAGUUGCGUGUAGAACAACAUAUCGGACAGAGAUAGUAGCUAUCACCUGUGACAAACACAACACUGACAUUAUAGAGUAGCAGGGUGUCGGUGGUUAUUUAUUAUAUUUAUUAUUUUACUCUUGAGUUUUACUCGAAGUUUUCAAACGUCUGUUGGAAAAAGUCGGUUAGCUCAGUGUUUGCUAGCUGCCAGUUUUUCUUUCCUUUCUUUUAAAGAUAGCAUUAACGGUAAACAACAUGGCGGCGGCGGCGCCACGUCUUUCAGUUUAGCUCACAGGUUUAGUAGAAACACACGUUUAGUUUAAUUAACUUAAAUAUUAUGUGAAACAUUUGAGGAGGUAACUUGGAAACAGGACAAUUCAUCCUACCUUUACUUUAAAAGUACCGCGUUUUGACACGACAGGCGGCGCGUGGACAUCAGCACGAGGAACAACAUGGAGAUUCGCAGGACGGCGUAGACGUGAACCUGCAGAACAUGACUGUGGACUGACUCAGCCAAGAGGAAGGAUUGGCUUGUCUACGGUCCACAGUUUCAAUCAUGGAGACCUCAUGAAGGACACAGAGGAGAGAGGAGCUUGGCCAGUCACCGAGUGGGAGCGAGAACCUGUUCCAGGCUCCAGUUUGAGCUUGCUCCCUCUGGCACUGACGACGCACGUCUCCAGCUUUCUCCUCACAUUUGCCCUCAGCGGUUUCGACACGCUUCUCAAACCCACCAAGUACUUCUGUCCUGGCUGCAUUCAGUUUGGCAUCCAUCAGAUUCUCCAGAGCUCCCGUAGUAAAAUUACCAGUGGAGUCUGAUUUUACCCCUGCUCUAUUUGACAUCUUAACCAGUUGUCCAUCAUGUCCCUUCACUGUUGCUUUAAGUUCCUGCAGCUCAGUCAUUUUGGCUUGCAGCUCUGCCCUGAGCUCCUCUACUCUUCCACUUAGUUCUGUAAAGCCUGAAAACACUUGUCUACCAUCUAGCCCCUCUGCCUCAGCACCUCCGCCAGGAAUCUCCACAAACCCUACAGUGGAAAGACUAGAGGCUAUAGCUGGAGCUGGAAUUGGGCCAGGGGCAGCAGAAAGUAGAGCUGACAGCAUCCUGUUGGCAUCCUCUCUAAGAGAAGCUCGUAGACUCUCCUCCAGUCCAUUUACAGUUCCCCUCAAAGUCUCCAGACCCUGGUUUAGACGUUGCACAUCCUCUUCCAUUCGAAAUAUUCGCUCCUCUGUCUCAUUGUCAAGAGUCUGGCCUAAGAAAAGGAUAAAAAGCUGUUAAAAUUGGGACAAACACACUGCUUUUAUGAUUUGGUGCAAUUACAGUUUGAAUCUGGUUCAAAAGAAUACAAUUCUUACAAUUCCCACCAUUCUUAUAUUUCUUAGUAAGAAAAUUAUGCAAAUAUGCUAUUUUUUCACUCAUCCAUUUAACAGUCAAAUCCAUUAAGAAUUAGAAUGUAAUUUUUGGAACUUGGACACACCUACGGUCUCACCCUCAGGCUGUUCACCACCAGAGGAAGGAGGGGGGAUUUCCUCUAGGAUAUGUUCUUCAGGCCCUUGGCUGGGCUCAUGUUCUUGGUCAUGCUCUGUGUGAUGUGGCUCCUGGUGGUCAGGCAUUGACUCUGGCUCUGACUCUGGCUCAAAGGACUCAAAGGAGGUGUCUGGGUAGGAGGAGGUCCUCGGAGGCCCAAAGUGAUGCAUUGGAUAAGAGUUAAAACCACUUGGGGGUUGUCCAUUGGGUUGACUCCAUGGGUUGGCUUUCACAGCUCCAUGAAUAGGUGGGCCCUUAAACAUUGGACCCUUGAACAUGGGACCUUUGUAUUGUGGGCCCUUGAACUGUGGUUCCUUAAACUGCGGGCCUUUCAUUGGCGGGCCCUUGAAUGGUGGCAUCAUUCUGUGUUGAUAAACUGGAGGACCUUCCAUACAGCCAUAACCAGAGUAACCUGGACAACAACGCCAUUCCAGCUCUGUGACGGUUUUAUGUGCCACCUUGUAGACUGGUUUGUACAUCAGACGAUACCUGAGUGGAACAACCAAUAUCAAAAAUACAAUUAACUCAAUUUUUUUUUUUUACCCAUGUCUUAUGAAUCCUAAAUAUAAACCCUAAAAUGCUUUCAUUAAAAUGCAAAUCAAAGACUAAAGAUUUGUUGAUUACUCACAUGAGAGUAGGACAUUUUUGACCCCAAGAACACUUGUUGUAUUCAGCUUUUACGUAGGGAGCUGCCCCAUCCUGCACAGUGAAGGGAACUGUCUUUUCCGUGACAUAUGCACAGUGGUUCCUUCAGAAGAGGAGAGAAACAACAUCAGAAGAGAUUUCAGUCAUAUAAAUGAUUCAUAGUAGAUUGCAAGAAUGCAACUAAAUUAAAAUGUAGAUUAAAUUAUAUAGAGAUGUUCUCAUUGUGCACAAGACAAGGAGAGAAACAGAGGUGAAACUUACUUGUGUCUGCUAGUGGGUUUCCCUUGGUCAUGGUGUGGAUUGAGUCCAGCCUUGGUAUGGUAUUGGUGUGGUCUGUAGAACUUGGCUUCCACCAGUGACAAAAAUUGAAUGAUGAAGAUAAAAUGACUCCAAACUGUUAUAAAAUGCAUCCUUGAAUAUCCAGGUGUAAUAGCAAAAGCUUGGUGAUGUGAGUCUCACAAAAGACAGAAGAAGAAUAUAUUCGUCCUUUCAAGGGCAACCAAUACCCUAAAUUCUCCACUCCACUCACUUGAUAUCGAUAUUAAUAAACUGUUGUGUCUCAAACAAGAACACAUGAAAAACUGACAACAGAAAAAAGGUCUCUGCAGUAGAGCCUUUGUUGGCUGUGCUAUAAAGCAGAAUGUUGGCCCUGGUGCUGGCUGUGGGUUUGUUGGAGUCUCUAAUACUGACAACAGUCCACUGUGAGUUUGGUGGACUACACACGCCACUAAAAAGGUCCCACUGGCAUCAUCUACAUAACUCCUCCCACUCAGCCUCCUCAAAGUAACACCAAGUUGACAUCAGAGUAGAGAGCCGCCUUCACCUUCACAGUUAGUAGCACUCAACUUUAUGAAAAAAAAGAAUGUUUUCAUGAUACAUCUCCAUAAAUUUCUACCAAUAAGGACCUAGUCUCGAGUCCCAUGAGCUGUUUUCCCAUGGUGACAUCAUGGCAAACCACAGAGGAAAUAGUGCAUCACCUCCAAAUUGCACAACACCCGGCCUUGUCCCAAAAUAGCACGUUUUUUUAUUUUAAAUCUUAGUGUAAAAGUGAAAAAAUAAAUCAUAUUCGAUGAUGAAAAAAGUGUAUAUGUCUUGAACCUUUUGUUCUGCAGUGAGCAAAAAAAAAGAAUGAAUAUGAAAUUCCAUUUGCUUUGGUUUCAGGGUCCUGGACAUUGUUCGUGCUGACUCAUUGUCACACUGUGACACUUUGUUCAUAUUUAUACAAUGAUGACAGUUUCAGAUGUCUGUUGUGACAUGGUACAUUAGCCAUUAGCCUCUAUUGUAAUCAUUUUAGCAAACAGUUUGGCCGUACCUUCUCACUCGUCCUUUACUUUUCCAGUUGAAGUGGAUGGACGCCCCUAAAAUGUAUUUCUGAUGAACACAACAAAUGGACUGAAUAAAAAUACAUAUUGUAUAUAUGGAUCCACACCAAAGUAGAGCUAUUCGUAGAUAUUAAACUCUGAAUAUGCCUGAUUAUUUUCAUUAUGAUUUUUGCAUUAUUUCCUGAUAAUUUGAUGGGUUCUUGCUUUGGUCAUGUCCCUCGUCAUGGAAAUCCAUUUAGUGAGUUAGUCUGCUGACAGUUAGACAAAUAGCACUGAAAACAUAACCUCCUUGGCACUGGUUAUAAAUAUGUGUUGCUAUAUUAACACACAGAAUAUCUAAUUAUUUAUGACAUCUGAAGGUGAGACCACAUUACAACAUUUUGCUUAUUGUUGAGUUCUCUAAAGACUUGGCAGUCUCUAACAUCUUGAGCUCUUAUGCUGAACACAUGCACAUUGACACAGUCUAAACCUGGACCUAACAGCAAACCUCCAGGAGCAGGAACAAAUAAAAACAAAUACUCUGUGUUGAAGGCUGUGACAGUACACACCCAGGCCCCAGAGUGCCGAGCCUCACAAACCCACACCUUCACUCACAACACAGGUCUUUGUGCAGGGUCGGCAAGAAGACUGGCAGCUCCACUCCAUCACAGACACUUUCCACCUAAAGGCCACAUUUUGAGCCGCAUAUAUUAAUCUUAAUCAAUUUACCCUAACAGUCUUCCAACAAAGCCCAGCUUUCACAUUUCAGAGUGAUCUGUGGAAUUUACAGCAGACGCUUUUAGAGAACAAAUUGAACAAAAGCAAAGCAUUCUAUUUUAACAGCUUUUUCUUUUCUUUCUUCUUUUUUUCUUUUAAUAUUUAAAACUGUUGAUUAUAUGUUAUUACAUUUUCCUCUCCUGCCUGGGACUGCAAGGGCAGCAUUAGAGUGGGAAAAUAAGAAGCUUUAGCUUAUUAUUAUUUGUGACUCUGCAGACAGCCGGAAGUGAGGUGGUGCCAAUGGAGCAAACUAAAUAACAUACAUAUCUACAGGUGGCUUUAAUGUUUGUGUUUUAUGUGCACAUGCAGUGAGUCAUUUAAAAAUUAUCAUUUAUUCCAGCAAAUUUGGUAUCUUAUCUAUAGAUUUUACGGUGCUAGUCAGUAUUAAAAUGGCAGUACUUCACUGACUGUUGUAGUUGCUGGUUAUUACUCGCAUUAAUAUUUUCACAUAGAAAUAAAAACUUUUCAAAUGAUAAAAAAAUAAAAUAUAAAAAAUAUCACGUUGUUACCAAUCUUUUUGACUUGUGACUCUUGACACAAAAGUCAGUGUGUGGUUGUCUAACCUUGUAACAAGUUAGCAUAGAUAUUUCCUCUCAACACGUGACAUGGUUUUAUUUAGAUAAUUGCCUGUAGCUCUAUUAUUUAUUUAAUGACCUGUCAGAUUUUUAAUAUGACCCCUUUGAGGGGGUCUAACUCAUUGGUUGGGAAUUGUGAAAAUAAGCAGCAAAAUUAAAAUGCUUUUUAUACAAUGAUACCAUUUUUAUACAUUAAUGACCA